rnacentral:rRNA from 1 species
AUUGAACGCUGGCGGCAGGCCUAACACAUGCAAGUCGAGCGGUAACACAGGGAGCUUGCUCUCGGGUGACGAGCGGCGGACGGGUGAGUAAUGUCUGGGAAACUGCCUGAUGGAGGGGGAUAACUACUGGAAACGGUAGCUAAUACCGCAUAACGUCGCAAGACCAAAGAGGGGGACCUUCGGGCCUCUUGCCAUCAGAUGUGCCCAGAUGGGAUUAGCUAGUAGGUGGGGUAACGGCUCACCUAGGCGACGAUCCCUAGCUGGUCUGAGAGGAUGACCAGCCACACUGGAACUGAGACACGGUCCAGACUCCUACGGGAGGCAGCAGUGGGGAAUAUUGCACAAUGGGCGCAAGCCUGAUGCAGCCAUGCCGCGUGUAUGAAGAAGGCCUUCGGGUUGUAAAGUACUUUCAGCGGGGAGGAAGGCGGUGAGGUUAAUAACCUCAUCGAUUGACGUUACCCGCAGAAGAAGCACCGGCUAACUCCGUGCCAGCAGCCGCCGUAACAC